GUGCUCGCUUCGGCAGCACAUAUACUAAAAUUGUAACAGAGAAGAUUAGCAUGGCCCCUGUGCAAGGAUGACACGCAAAUUUGUGAAGCAUUCCAUAUUUUU